rnacentral:rRNA from 1 species
UACGGGAGGCAGCAGUGGGGAAUAUUGCACAAUGGGCGCAAGCCUGAUGCAGCCAUGCCGCGUGUAUGAAGAAGGCCUUCGGGUUGUAAAGUACUUUCAGUCGUGAGGAAGGUGUUAAGGUUAAUAACCUUAGCAAUUGACGUUAGCGACAGAAGAAGCACCGGCUAACUCCGUGCCAGCAGCCGCGGUAAUACGGAGGGUGCGAGCGUUAAUCGGAAUUACUGGGUCGUAAAGGGCACGCAGGCGGUUAAUUAAGUUGGAUGUGAAAUCCCCGGGCUUAACCUGGGAAUGGCAUUCAAGACUGGUUAGCUAGAGUCUUGUAGAGGGGGUUAGAAUUCCAUGUGUAGCGGUGAAAUGCGUAGAGAUGUGGAGGAAUACCGGUGGCGAAGGCGGCCCCUGGACAAAGGACUGACGCUCGAUGUGCGAAAGCGUGGGGAGCAAAC